rnacentral:rRNA from 1 species
AUUGAACGCUGGCGGCAUGCCUUACACAUGCAAGUCGAACGGCAGCACGGGAGCAAUCCUGGUAGCGAGUGGCGAACGGGUGAGUAAUAUAUCGGAACGUGCCCAGUCGUGGGGGAUAACGUAGCGAAAGCUACGCUAAUACCGCAUACGAUCUAUGGAUGAAGCGGGGAUCGCAAGACCUCGCGCGAUUGGAGCGGCCGAUAUCAGAUUAGGUAGUUGGUGAGGUAAAGGCUCACCAAGCCGACGAUCUGUAGCUGGUCUGAGAGGACGACCAGCCACACUGGGACUGAGACACGGCCCAGACUCCUACGGGAGGCAGCAGUGGGGAAUUUUGGACAAUGGGCGCAAGCCUGAUCCAGCAAUGCCGCGUGCAGGAUGAAGGCCUUCGGGUUGUAAACUGCUUUUGUACGGAACGAAACGGUGAGCUCUAAUACAGUUUGCUAAUGACGGUACCGUAAGAAUAAGCACCGGCUAACUACGUG